GUUUGCACAGUAUUGUGACCUUUGUAAUUCCACUUCAGCCACUGGUUAGCUGUUUUCUGCAACCAAUCAAACUGAUUGCGAGCUACCCCUUCAUUUACAUGAGAUGAAAAAAUAUGAAUGUCAAAAAAAUACUUGAGUGAGAAAUUAUUUCAUAAAACGAAGAAAGCUAAAAGGCAUAUGGUAAAAUGAAGAGGAAAACACAACCCAACACUGAAGAGAGAUAUCACCGUGGUAAGCAAUGCAGGUUUGAUAGCAACACCAGCUCAGACGGUAAUUCCACAGGACGUACCGGUACCUCAGUCACAUCUUUGUCAUGUUCGAAGCUGCUAGGAAAGGCUAGCAGAAGACUCACCAGAAAGGUUCUGAAGAUACAAACAAAGAGCCUGAAAUGUUGGAAACUUUAGGGUCAAGCAUUGGUAUUAGAGCCUUGGAAAGAGAAUAGAGUUGUCAGUCAAUUUACAUUACACUGGAAACUAUAAUAAAUUGGGCAAAUGCAAUGCAAAGAAAACUGCUGACAGCAGAUAUGUUCCUAAAAUGUAUGUAGAAUGAUGUAGUUGUUAAUUUAAUUAGUUGCUUAAAGCCAGACAAUUUCUUUCCAAAAAUUCUGGCCUGUCAAAAGUUAACGAUCAUCUUUCUUAAUCUAGCAAAUUAAAUAUGACACUGAAUGACUUUAAAUAACACUGACACUUCCAUAGGAAUGUUGAUAUGAAGCAUGGUAUUUAAUUUUUUAUGUAAAAUAUGAAUGCACAGAAAGACAUGAAUGAUGCAUAGUAUGAAAACAUGAUUCAAAAAUAAAAAUAUGACUGGUGAAAUAAAAACUUUAGAGAAAUGUCACUAAGUUGAUUGUCAUAGAUUGUUUCAAUAUGCUUAGCCUAG
rnacentral:lncRNA from 10 species